rnacentral:sRNA from 1 species
GUGUGUAUGAGUGAGUGAAUGAAUAUGUAAAUCUACAAGAAAUUGCGUUGCGCGAAAAAUCAAAAACUAAUAGCUACAAUCAAAAAGUUGUUUUUCAUGUGAUGGCUGCUCGACCGGUGGAGGGGGGACGAACACGAACAUCAGAGGCUGGCAAUCAAGGAGUGAUGCAGCAGAUCAGUGGCGACAUCCAGCGGGACAUCCAAGGAGUACAGUGGAACCAGCCAUGUAAUCAGCAACAGAACUGGCACUUGGGUGGCCAGCACCAGCUGCUGCAUUGACUGCAGUUGCAUCCACAACUGCAAUGGAUAUGGACAUCGACAUCUUCAUCAGCGGAGGCGGAGGCGGCGUCCAGAGUGAAGUUGCCAGCCCGGAGACUGGUAUGAGGCGCCAGCAGUGCAAUAUGCACCACCAACACCAGCAUCGGCAACAGGAUCAUCGGCGUCAUCAACAUCAGUGGAAAUGGCGCAGACAUCAAGUGGCUUCAGCAUCAUUAGCUCUGGUGCGAGCGAAUGCAAAAUGUCGUGUCAUGGGCAAAUGCAUGCAGCCUGUCAUCUAGCUGCAAGCCCAUACACAUUGAAUGGCCAAUUGUCGCCCACAAUAAGACGACAAGUAUCGAGUAAUCACGUCGAUUUAAAGCUAAUGAACAAUUGUGUUUGUACUGUCUUCUUCUUCUCAUUUUCACCAUGCGCAAUUGCGACAAGAGUGCGUUAGAUAAUAAGGAGGAGUGGAUUGCUACUGGGUGAGUAUUGAUAUUAUUAUUAUUAUUGUUAAGUGAAGUGGGUGAGUGUAGAAAAUUAUAGUAGUUGAAUUAGGUUUGUAUAGGCUAUAAGAACAGGUAGUCAUUAUAUAUUUGGGGUCUUAUUUGCGAUUUGUUGCCUGCUACUGCUAAUGCUGGCAGACAAGCAGGUUGUUAGCGCGGACAUCAUAUCUAUUAGACGAUCCAGCUUGUUGACGAUAGCCUUGUUGAUGGCUGAAUUAGCAUUCUCAAUUGAAUUUGAAUUUG